UACGUAGGUGACAAGCGUUGUCCGGAUUUACUGGGCGUAAAGAGCGCGCAGGCGGUCGUUCAAGUCGAGUGUGAAAGCCCCCGGCUCAACUGGGGAGGGUCACUCGAUACUGAUCGACUCGAAGGCAGGAGAGGGUAGUGGAAUUCCCGGUGUAGUGGUGAAAUGCGUAGAUAUCGGGAGGAACACCAGUGGCGAAGGCGACUACCUGGCCUGUUCUUGACGCUGAGGCGCGAAAGCGUGGGGAGCGAACAGG
rnacentral:rRNA from 1 species